rnacentral:rRNA from 1 species
CAGCAGCCACGGUAAUACGUAGGGUGCAAGCGUUAAUCGGAAUUACUGGGCGUAAAGCGUGCGCAGGCGGUUAUAUAAGACAGAUGUGAAAUCCCCGGGCUCAACCUGGGAACUGCAUUUGUGACUGUAUAGCUAGAGUACGGCAGAGGGGGACGGAAUUCCGCGUGUAGCAGUGAAAUGCGUAGAUAUGCGGAGGAACACCGAUGGCGAAGGCAAUCCCCUGGGCCUGUACUGACGCUCAUGCACGAAAGCGUGGGGAGCAAACAGGAUUAGAUACCCCGGUAGUCCCUGUCUUUAUACC